rnacentral:rRNA from 1 species
CAGCAGCCACGGGAAUACGGAGGGUGCAAGCGUUAUCCGGAUUUAUUGGGCUUAAAGGGUCCGUAGGCGGAUCUGUAAGUCAGUGGUGAAAUCUCACAGCUUAACUGUGAAACUGCCAUUGAUACUGCAGGUCUUGAGUAAAUUUGAAGUGGCUGGAAUAAGUAGUGUAGCGGUGAAAUGCAUAGAUAUUACUUAGAACACCAAUUGCGAAGGCAGGUCACUAAGAUUUAACUGACGCUGAUGGACGAAAGCGUGGGGAGCGAACAGGAUUAGAUACCCCAGUAGUCCCUGUCUCUUAUAC